UUCUCCUUGGUACACCUAACCUCUCAUAGGCUAUGUCUGAAUCCAAAUGCACAGACAAAGCCUAGUAGAGGCUAGAUUUAUAAGGAUAUA
rnacentral:pre_miRNA from 1 species